UAGGGAAUCUUCGGCAAUGGACGCAAGUCUGACCGAGCAACGCCGCGUGAGUGAAGAAGGUUUUCGGAUCGUAAAACUCUGUUGUUAGAGAAGAACAAGGACGUUAGUAACUGAACGUCCCCUGACGGUAUCUAACCAGAAAGCCACGGCUAACUACGUGCCAGCAGCCGCGGUAAUACGUAGGUGGCAAGCGUUGUCCGGAUUUAUUGGGCGUAAAGCGAUCGCAGGCGGUUUCUUAAGUCUGAUGUGAAAGCCCCCGGCUCAACCGGGGAGGGUCCUUGGAAACUGGUAGACUUGAGUGCAGAAGAGGCGAGUGGAAUUCCAUGUGUAGCGGUGAAAUGCGUACAUAUAUGGAGGAACACCAGUGGCGAAGGCGGCUCUCUGGUCUGUAACUGACGCUGAGGCUCGAAAGCGUGGGGAGCAAACAGG
rnacentral:rRNA from 1 species